rfam:Macrostomum lignano uti_cns_0004310, whole genome shotgun sequence.
GGCAACGGCCAUACCACGUUGAAAACACCGGUUCUCGUCUGAUCACCGAAGUUAAGCAACGUUGGGUUUGGUUAGUACUUGGAUGGGUGACCGCCUGGGAAUACCAAAUGCCGUUGUCU